UCGAGCGAACAGAUAAGGAGCUUGCUCCUUUGACGUUAGCGGCGGACGGGUGAGUAACACGUGGGUAACCUACCUAUAAGACUGGAAUAACUCCGGGAAACCGGGGCUAAUGCCGGAUAAUAUUUAGAACCGCAUGGUUCUAAAGUGAAAGAUGGUUUUACUAUCACUUAUAGAUGGACCCGCGCCGUAUUAGCUAGUUGGUGGGGUAAUGGCUUACCAAGGCAACGAUACGUAGCCGACCUGAGAGGGUGAUCGGCCACACUGGAACUGAGACACGGUCCAGACUCCUACGGGAGGCAGCAGUAGGGAAUCUUCCGCAAUGGGCGAAAGCCUGACGGAGCAACGCCGCGUGAGUGAUGAAGGUCUUCGGAUCGUAAAACUCUGUUAUUAGGGAAGAACAAAUGUGUAAGUAACUGUGCACGUCUUGACGGUACCUAAUCAGAAAGCCACGGCUAACUACGUGCCAGCAGCCGCGGUAAUACGUAGGUGGCAAGCGUUAUCCGGAAUUAUUGGGCGUAAAGCGCGCGUAGGCGGUUUCUUAAGUCUGAUGUGAAAGCCCACGGCUCAACCGUGGAGGGUCAUUGGAAACUGGGAAAACUUGAGUGCAGAAGAGGAAAGUGGAAUUCCAUGUGUAGCGGUGAAAUGCGCAGAGAUAUGGAGGAACACCAGUGGCGAAGGCGACUUUCUGGUCUGUAACUGACGCUGAUGUGCGAAAGCGUGGGGAUCAAACAGGAUUAGAUACCCUGGUAGUCCACGCCGUAAACGAUGAGUGCUAAGUGUUAGGGGGUUUCCGCCCCUUAGUGCUGCAGCUAACGCAUUAAGCACUCCGCCUGGGGAGUACGACCGCAAGGUUGAAACUCAAAGGAAUUGACGGGGACCCGCACAAGCGGUGGAGCAUGUGGUUUAAUUCGAAGCAACGCGAAGAACCUUACCAAAUCUUGACAUCCUUUGACAACUCUAGAGAUAGAGUCUUCCCCUUCGGGGGACAAAGUGACAGGUGGUGCAUGGUUGUCGUCAGCUCGUGUCGUGAGAUGUUGGGUUAAGUCCCGCAACGAGCGCAACCCUUAAGCUUAGUUGCCAGCAUUAAGUUGGGCACUCUAAGUUGACUGCCGGUGACAAACCGGAGGAAGGUGGGGAUGACGUCAAAUCAUCAUGCCCCUUAUGAUUUGGGCUACACACGUGCUACAAUGGACAAUACAAAGGGCAGCUAAACCGCGAGGUCAUGCAAAUCCCAUAAAGUUGUUCUCAGUUCGGAUUGUAGUCUGCAACUCGACUACAUGAAGCUGGAAUCGCUAGUAAUCGUAGAUCAGCAUGCUACGGUGAAUACGUUCCCGGGUCUUGUACACACCGCCCGUCACACCACGAGAGUCUGUAACACCCGAAGCCGGUGGAGUAACCAUUUA
rnacentral:rRNA from 1 species